UCUUGAAGAGUAAGAAAUGCACUGAAAUGAUUUUUUUCCAAUUUCACUUGAAGCCAGCAAAUAACAAGGUGAAUGGAUUGGUUACUCUUUGAAUAAAACCUCUUAGAAAAUUGAACAAUAAUUCAGAAACUACAUCUUAUAUAUAUAUAGUCCAGUGGCAUAUAAGUAACAUAAAAUUUGAACAUGGAACUAAGAUUCUAUAUAAGAGGUCCAAGAUUGAUCCUCAUACAAAAACAGUGUAUAUAUACAAUAUACAUAUGCA